GAGAUGUUGGGUUAAGUCCCGCAACGAGCGCAACCCUCGUUUUUAGUUGCCAGCAUUAAGUUGGGCACUCUAGAGAGACUGCCGGUGACAAACCGGAGGAAGGUGGGGAUGACGUCAAGUCCUCAUGGCCCUUACGGGUUGGGCUACACACGUGCUACAAUGGCAUAUACAGAGGGAUGCGAGACAGUGAUGUGGAGCGGACCCCUUAAAGUAUGUCGUAGUCCGGAUUGGAGUCUGCAACUCGACUCCAUGAAGUCGGA
rnacentral:rRNA from 1 species